rnacentral:rRNA from 1 species
UUAAAUAAUUUAGAUGGCCUUUGCUAGUUUUCUAGCGAAUGGUUCAUUCUUUUUUACUGUGAACUGUUUUAAUUUUUCAGCGUCUGAGGAAUGUCUUUUAGCCAUAGGGAUAGGCUACUAGAAUGUUAACCGAGCUGAAAGUCAGGCUUAGGCCUGGUAUCCUAUUAAUUAUUUACCAAAAGAAUUCAGUAUUAUAAUUGUAACAUAAGCGUAAAAAACUUAUAAAACAACUUUUAACAACGGAUCUCUUGGUUCUCGCAUCGAUGAAGAACGUAGCAAAGUGCGAUAACUAGUGUGAAUUGCAUAUUCAGUGAAUCAUCGAGUCUUUGAACGCAACUUGCGCUCAAUGGUAUUCCAUUGAGCACGCCUGUUUCAGUAUCAAAAACACCCCACAUUCAUAAUUUUGUUGUGAAUGGAAAUGAGAGUUUCGGCUUUAUUGCUGAAUUCUUUAAAAUUAUUAGGCCUGAACUAUUGUUCUUUCUGCCUGAACAUUUUUUUAAUAUAAAGGAAUGCUCUAGUAAAAAGACUAUCUCUGGGGCCUCCCAAAUAAAUCAUUCUUAAAUUUGAUCUGAAAUCAGGCGGGAUUACCCGCUGAACUUAAGCAUAUCAA